UUGAUUUUCUGCUCAAGCCUAUGAUUACACUGCUGUCACAUAAGCUGACAUGGGCAUUAAGCAAAUGGUAUUUUUGUUGCUGAAGCAGGUUUCAAAAGCCAGGCACAUAGAUUGUACCAGAGUGUUUUAAUAGGUGCUUUUAAAUGGGGUUGCAACAGAACUAAAACCAUUUUCAAAGCCAAGAGCAAAUCAAUGUGUAAUCUGAUCCAGAUAGUUCUCAGAUACAGGCUUCCAAGGACUAUGGGCCUCAUACUCCUACAGUGAGAGAAUAUAAAUUAUACACUUUUUACUGUAAGACUUGAAUGUCAGUCAAUAGAAUCAAAGAAGGAUCAACAGAUGUAACAAGAGCGGACGAUUUCAAGAACUGGUUCAAAAGAUUAUGGCCUGGUUUCUUCUGAUUCUGCGGCUCUUCAAAAUAGAUCCUUUGGAACUGUGGGGUAACCAGGAUCAGAAGUGCCGCCUGAAGAUGGGACGGAACUGCCACAAUCUCAUGAUAAAACUUGAACAGAUGAGGAGUUGCUUCUUAUGGAUGAGCAAAGAAAAUGGAUUCUUGAGAUGGAAGCUACUCCUUGGUGAAGAUGCCAUGAAGACUGUUGAAAAGACAACAAAGCGAGAUUCAUUCUUUGACCUGUAAGACAAGAACCCUGCAAUUCUGCCAAAAAAGGAUUUAGAACAUCACAUGAACUUAGUUGUAAAGCAGCAGCAGAGUUGGAGGAUGGACUCCAGUUUUGAAAAAGUUCUACUGUGGGUAAAAUGCUACCAAACAGCAUCACAUGCUACAGAGAAAUUGUUCCUGAAAGAAGAGUCAAUCCGUGCGGCAAACUUCAGGGUUGUCUUCCUUUCAGAAAUGGCCACGGCCACCACCCUGAUGGGUCGGCAGCCUUAAACAUCAGACAAGACCCUCCACCAGCAAAAGGAUUAUGGCUCCUGAAAGCUCAGAUGGUGGUUAGUAUUUUUCAACAACAGAGUAUUUUUAAUUAUGGUAUGAACCUAGUUUUUCAGACACAGCUACUGCGCAUUUCAUAGGCUACAUGCACUGUAAACAUAACUUUUAUGUGCACCGGGAAACCAAAGCGCUCAUCUGACUCACGUCAUUGCAAUAUUCGUUUUAUUGCUGUGAUCUGGAACUAAAUCCACAAUAUCUCCAAGGUAUGCCUCUAAUUUUUCCUAAUUUUGCACACAUUGGGAAAAAAGCUUAGCAUAAACUUAUGUAAUCUCCUCGCCAUCAGCAGCCCUGCAUACUUGUUCCUACUGGCGAAUAUUUGGUUGUUGUUUAGCUAUUCACCUCGGCUCCAUGGAGGAGUGCGUGGCUUGGCUCCAGAGAAAUCAUUCUGUUAUCACAGCUCUACACCCACAGACUUGUUUUUGUUUUAUUUCCUUCUUUGGAAAGGUAGUUUGUGAGAAGAGAAUCGGGGUCUUCCUUG